CUUGUUAGCUGGUUAUCUGUCUGCCUCACCUCAGAAAGCAGAACUUCGACUAUUUACUGAAACUCUUGGAAAAAGACUGGAUUCGCAAACCUGAAAAAGAAACUGAAAUACAUAGAGACCAUCCUUUCUUGGAUAAUAGAGAUGACUACGAAAAAGUGCUGAGAAAACAAAGGCGAAAGGAAAGGAAGUGAGGAUAAACAGCCCUCAGACAUCGUCAAGUCCUAGGCAAACAUUUAAAGACAUCAAAUGCAGCCAUUUAGUUCUUCUGCCUCCUUUGUCAAGGUCAGGUUAUAGGAAAGUAGCUCCUCUGGACCCUUACUUCGCAUUCCCUACUCUGAGCCACCCUGUGUCACUCUAACUAACUUGUCCCCAUCCCCCGGGGCUUUGCUUUUUAUUAGAUAAAAACCUGCUCAUCUGCCAAAGUAGUACUUAUUAAAAUGUUAAUGCUG